rnacentral:rRNA from 1 species
UACGUAGGCAGCGAGCGUUGUUCGGAGUUACUGGGCGUAAAGGGUGUGUAGGCGGUUUUUUAAGUUUGGUGUGAAAUCUCCCGGCUCAACUGGGAGGGUGCGCCGAAUACUGAAUGACUAGAGUGCGGGAGAGGUGAGUGGAAUUCCUGGUGUAGCGGUGAAAUGCGUAGAUAUCAGGAGGAACACCGGUGGUGUAGACGGCUCACUGGACCGUAACUGACGCUGAGACACGAAAGCGUGGGUAGCAAACAGG